ACUGGGGGGGGGGGAAUCCUGCAACGCCGCCUGCCCAAAGUGACCUCUAAGAUGGGAGCGAGGCCGUGUCUUCGCUGUCAUGGAGCCCCCAGCUCGGCUUGCUUCUUCCAUCUCCGUUUUCCGUCUCUUGUGCAGCGCCGCUUCUAGUCGGCGGCGGGGCGGCAGUGUUUGCAAACUGGUGCUCUGUGUGUGUGUGUUUGUGUUUGUGUUGUGCAGACUGUGGAGCACACAGCUAGCCCGGCAAGCAAGGUGCAAAAUGGCAUUGGCUUUCCAAGUACAGGAGAAGAGAGAGGGUUUCUGCAGUCUGCUUCUUUCUGCUUCAGAAUAUCACCUUAUUGGCUCUCUUCACGAAAUCAGAUGACUUCCCAGCUGCAGAAAGAAACCCAGCAUCCAAAUUUUUCUUGGAUGUCCUCCUGUUUCCCCAAAGCCACCAACUGCCUACUGCACCUUGACCUUGGAAGUGACUUUGAUACCCUCCUAUUUCUUGUGAUAGUGUGUUACUUUGCUUUGUAAAAACACGUUAUUCCAGGUGAUGGCUCAGACGUAUUAUCAGGGAAGCGUGUGUGAAGCUUUGCUGGGGCACUCCGACUGAUUCUGUGUGCAUAAUGGAUAACAUCAUUUCUUAAAACAGUUAAUCCAGCAGCAUUUUUAUGAUAACAAUAAAAGCUUCUUUUUUAAGCAUAUUUUUGGUGUAUAUGCCUUUGAGGUCUUUUUGAUACUACAGUCAUACCUUGGAAGUCGAACGGAAUCCAUUCCAGAAGUCCAUUUGACUUCCAAAACGUUCAAAAACCAAAGCAUGGCUUCUGAUUGGCAGCAGGAACCUCCUGCAGCCAAUUGGAAGCCCCGUUGGAUGUUCGGCUUCCAAAAAUAGUUUGCAAACCGGAACAGUCACUUCCAUGUUUGCAAACGUUCAGCAGCCAAAACGCUCGGGAACUAAGCUGUUCGAAAACUAAGGUACGACUGUGUAUGUUGUUAGGGAGUGGCCCUGAUCCCAGAUCUUCUGUGGUGGGCCCCAUAUUUCCUAUCCCUUCUUCUCCUCUCCUUUAUAAAAAUAAUUUUUACUUUGCUUGUAGGGUGGCUGGACACCAUGCUAAUGAGACCCUAAACUGCCCACCAUCUUAAUUUCCCAGAGGCAUCUAUACAUCUAAAUUGGCUUAUGGAAAUGUUAUGGAAAUUCAAGGCCUUUGCCCAAAGUGCUUCUAAGUACCCAACAAUACCCUUGCUUCUAAUAAAAGUGUGUUUGUUGAACUGCUACCAAACACUUUCAUCACCCUUAAAACAUUACUUGCUUAAUAGCCGCUCUUUGAGUCUGAAACUUGUUUUCCAAGAGAUCUGCUAAAUUCUGAGCAUGGGUAUCACCCAGAAGUGAUUUAUAGCUUUUUUAACAUUUUGUUUUCAGUGGUGGGGAAAAGCUAUAAGGAUGUGUUAACCAUUAAAUGUUAAAUCUAUAUUUAACAUUUGAGUAUAUUACUUUAUAUUGAUAAAAUGGCUGUUAUCCCAGCCUGAGGGAUUAGGCUAGAAAUAAUGUUACUUUUAUAAAUGAAGUAAGAAAUAAGAAUACGCAAAGGGAGAAAUAAUCUCGUUCCUGGCUCUCUGGAGAUACCCAAAGCUUGCAGCUGUGAAUGGCUGAAUAGAAAUGAAAUGGGAGUUGGAUAAUCUGUAGCCAGCAGCUUCCUCAUUUUUCUUGCUGUGAACUUGGAACUCUCUCUAUAUUUGGCAAGUGGUCCUGCAAAUGCAAGAAAAGCAUUUGCUUUGUUCCAUCCGGGGUAGAUUUGAUUAUAAAUCCAGCGAGGAAUAUUAUGUAACUGAACAAUUUCCUUUUCAUAACUCAAUUUAUAAAAUUUCAGCAUGGGAGAUAUUGUAGCAGCCUCGUGACUGACGGGGAAUCAUGGUGAGUUAAGGGCUGGGAGCAAAGAGGCAUGCAGAGCCCAACUAAAAAACAAGAUGGGCAUAGUAGGAUGGCGAGGGAGAAUGACCAGAGUUCCUCCCAUGGUGCUCAAGGAACAUUAAUGGGCUGAGUUGUAGAGGCAUCACAUGAUACUCAGGAGGGCUUAAUAGCCUGCUCGAAAUGGGUAUCAUGCUGCAGGCAUCACAUGGCACUCGGAAGGUUCAUCUACGCUAACUGCUCAGUUUACUGUGCAGUACUGGGGCCAGAAGGGGGGAAAUUGCACGUUUGCAUGCCUUGAUUUCUGGAGGUGGCAAUGCAAGGAGAAUACAGUGGUACCUCGAGUUACAAAUGCCUCAGGCUACAAAUGCUUCAGGUUACAAACUCCGCUAACCUGGAAGAGUUAUCUCGAGUUGAGAACUUUGCCCCAGGAUGAGAACGGAAAUCGUGUCCUGGUGGUGCAGCAGCAGCAAGAGGCCCCAUUAGCGAAAGCACGCCUCUAGUUAAGAACAGUUUCAGGUUAAGAACGGACCUCUGGAACGAAUUAAGUUCAUAACCAGAGGUACCACUGUACCUCACCAUAACAGUUUGCUUUAGGGAAAUAGAUGGAUAUGCAAAGUAUUUUCCAAAGGAGUUGGCAAGCAGAGUAAGGAAGCUAUGGGGGGCAGUUAAAAUGGUAAAGGAUGCUUAAAAUUGCAUCUUCUGGACACUGGAAUUCUUCCCCAGACCUCAUCGGAAUUUAAAGUCUUCACAAUGUACAGUAUUCACUUUCCCCAGGCUCCUGAUGUGGUGCGUGUUGUGAGAAGGCUUUUUCUUCUUUCCCAUGUCCAUUGAUUGGGUCAGGAGGCAGACAGCCAAUUCAUUCUGCUCCCAAUCAAUAGCUAGAAGUUCUCUUUUUUAUAAUUAUUACGUGGCCAGAUCAUUUUUCAUUGUUAGAAACAGGGUUUAGAAAACGGUUGCUUCAGGCAGACAGCUUCAAGGGGAGCACAGUUUGUCUCCCUUCUCUCUAUGAAUAGAAAAGGAAAGAAAACCGCAGUCCAGAAUUGAGUGGAGCAAUUCUGACUUCUUAGUUCAGGUGUGGAUGAACCAUUAUCAGUAGUGUUGGAUUCUGUAAGCUCUGAGAAGCCUUGUCUGGGUUCUGGAAAUAGACUCUUUCCAUAUCAAGGUAUACCUCGGAUUGUUCCUUUCCGCACUUAAAGUGCUUUUGAGCAUAUUUAUUUAAGGAGUUCUAUACCACCUUUUACCAAACAGUUGACAGGGCAGUUUGCAAAUUCAAAGCAAAAUACAUAAUAUAAAAUAUCAAAAUGGCAAACUAAAAUAAGAUUCAGGUAGGUAGCCGUGUUGAUCUGACACAGUCGAAAUAAAAAAAGAAAAAAAUUGUCCAGUAGCACCUCAGAUGGUAUUCUUCAGGUGGGAUCUGAAGAAGUGUGCAUGCACAUGAAAGCUUAUACCCAGAACAAAUUUAGUUGGUCUCUAAGGU